rnacentral:rRNA from 1 species
AUUGAACGCUGGCGGCAGGCCUAACACAUGCAAGUCGAGCGCGCGGCGCACGGGUGAGUAUUGUGUGUGAAACUGCCCGCUGGAGGGGGAUAACUAUUGGAAACGGUAGCUCUUACCCCAUAUCAUCUGAUGUGUCCCCAUGGGAUUUGCUGGUAGGUGGGGGAACGGCUCACCUCGGCGACGAUCCCUAGCUGGUCUGAGAGGAUGACCAGCCACACUGGAACUGAGACACGGUCCAGACUCCUACGGGAGGCAGCAGUGGGGAAUAUUGCACAAUGGGCGCAAGCCUGAUGCAGCCAUGCCGCGUGUGUGAAGAAGGCCUUCGGGUUGUAAAGCACUUUCAGCGGGGAGGCGUUACCCGCAGAAGAAGCACCGGCUAACUCCGUGCCAGCAGCCGCGGUAAUAC